rnacentral:rRNA from 1 species
AUACGGAGGAUGCGAGCGUUAUCCGGAUUUAUUGGGUUUAAAGGGUGCGUAGGCGGGCUGUUAAGCGUGAGGUGAAAGCUCGGGGCUCAACCCCGGAACUGCCUCGCGAACUGGCGGUCUUGAAUGUCCGUGCCGUGGGAGGAAUGUGUGGUGUAGCGGUGAAAUGCAUAGAGAUCACACAGAACACCGAAUGCGAAGGCAUCUCUCGAACGGAUGAGUGACGCUGAGGCACGAGAGCGUGGUGAUCAAACAGGAUUAGAAGCCCUGGUAGUGCUCGCAAGAAACGAUGUUAGCUAAACUCUGGUGCGCAAGUAUCCGUGGCCAAGCGAAAGCUAUAAGUUAUCCCCCUGGGGAGUACGACCGCAAGGUGGAAACUCAAAUUAAUUGACGGGG